CAAUAAAUUCAUUCAGAGUGCUUACUAUACGACGACAAUUGCAGUUGGAAGUCCUCAAUAGAAAGGUUGAAGAAAGUAUCAACAUGAAGAAAGAGCCUCGUGUUUUUAUUUGUUUUGUUCUCUUUCACUUACAGUGAAAUAUAUAUAACCACAUCCAAGGGGAUUGCUUUUGAGGUCUGAGUGAGAAAAAAGCAAAAGCAGACCAUAGGAAAAGCAAGCUGCUAAAGGAUUUUACCCAAAUUCCUCAGGAAAAAUAACAUGGCCAACAUGAGGGUCUAAAUCUGAGGUACUCAUCCCACAUGACAAAUGAUCAGCCAUUUGUAUAAAAAAAGGCCAAAAAUACCUGAAAAAUACCCCAAAAAGUGCUUCUGAGCUACUUGUUUCAUUGACUCGGAUGCAUUGGCUAUGUUUCAAACAGUAUGCAGAGCCAAGUCUGCUUGUUUAGGUGCCCACCUUCAGGAUGCUGCCUUCAGGUUGAAGCAGGGUGCCAGGGGUGUGAACUGAAGCUGCCAUUUGAGGUGUCUGCAGAGGACCAACAGCAAGUGGGAUCCACCAAAUUAGUGUCCUCCCUUCCUACCACUUUUACAU